rnacentral:rRNA from 1 species
GGAGACAUUACGGGAGGCAGCAGUGAGGAAUAUUGCACAAUGGGCGCAAGCCUGAUGCAGCGACGCCGCGUGGGUGAAGAAGGAUUUCGGUCUGUAAAGCCCUUUUCUGUGUGACGGGAAUGGACGGUAGCACAGGAAUAAGUCUCGGCUAACUACGUGCCAGCAGCCGCGGUAAAACGUAGGAGGCAAGCGUUAUCCGGAUUCACUGGGCGUAAAACGCGUGCAGGUGGCGCGGUAAGUUGGGUGUGAAAUCUCCCGGCUCAACUGGGAGAGGUCAUUCAAUACUACCGUGCUCGAGAGCAGAAGAGGAAGAUGGAAUUCCCGGUGUAGUGGUGAAAUGCGUAGAUAUCGGGAGGAACACCAGUGGCGAAGGCGAUCUUCUGGUCUGUUUCUGACACUCAGACGCGACAGCUAGGGUAGUAAACGGGAUUAGAGACCCCGGUAAUCCUAGCCGUAAACGAUGUGAACUUGGCGUUGGUGGGUUAAACUCCAUCAGUGCCGUAGCAAACGCGAUAAGUUCACCGCCUGGGGACUACGGCCGCAAGGUUAAAACUCAAAGGAAUUGA